rnacentral:rRNA from 1 species
UACGUAGGGUGCGAGCGUUGUCCGGAAUUACUGGGCGUAAAGAGCUCGUAGGUGGUUUGUCGCGUUGUCCGUGAAAACUCACAACUCAAUUGUGGGCGUGCGGGCGAUACGGGCAGACUGGAGUACUGCAGGGGAGACUGGAAUUCCUGGUGUAGCGGUGAAAUGCGUAGAUAUCUGGAGGAACACCGGUGGCGAAGGCGGCAUCCUGGACCGGCAGUUGACGCUGAGGCGCGAAAGCUAGGG